GGCGAUCCAGGCGUUCAUGGCCGCGCAGUCCGUGUUCACCCUGGAGGACAACCCGCAGAGCUGGGCCACCGCCGAGUUCAAUCUCGGGGUCGCCU
rnacentral:tRNA from 1 species